GACUAAAAUUUUGAUGUAGGGUUCAGUUCAUUCUUUUUGACGAUGAUCUCUUCUGUGUUUUCCUCAUCAACGCUACGUUUGACGCGCAAUGUUUUGUUUUAUUGUUGCAGUUUUUAUUUACCCGAGAACGAAUAUGGACGUACAGCACAAGUUCAAGCGAGUUUAUUCGGUGUAAAGUGGACCAAGCGAACAGUUAUUGUAACUUAUCUCUCUCCUUCCGACGGUCUAUCCUCUAUGAUAUGCAAUAUGACUGGACCGUCAAGAACAUGGAGGGCAUAUUUCUAAGGCAGCAAAAAGACGUAAUGAACGUAUUUACAAGAGAUAAUCGGAAGCCCUUUUUUGCUCCACGAAAUAAGACGGAAAUGACAGCAAGCAAAAACGCAAGUCAAGUGUCGCUUGGUUGGGAGAAAAUUCUUUAUAUGAGCAAAACGCAUGGUUGCGCAGUGAUAUUGGUGAAGGAAGCGAGCUACG
rnacentral:lncRNA from 1 species